AGCGUACACGGUGGAUGCCCUGGCAGUCAGAGGCGAUGAAGGACGUGCUAAUCUGCGAAAAGCGCCGGCGAGGUGAUAUGAACCCUUGACCCGGCGAUGUCCGAAUGGGGAAACCCAGUGCAAUCCGUUGCACUAUCGUUAACUGAAUACAUAGGUUAACGAGGCGAACCGGGGGAACUGAAACAUCUAAGUACCCCGAGGAAAAGAAAUCAACCGAGAUUCCCCCAGUAGCGGCGAGCGAACGGGGAGCAGCCCGGAGUCUGAAUCAGCUUGUGUGUUAGUGGAACGGUCUGGAAAGUCCGACGGUACAGGGUGAUAGUCCCGUACACGAAAGCACACUUGCUGUGAACUCGAAGAGUAGGGCGGGACACGUGGUAUCCUGUCUGAAUAUGGGGGGACCAUCCUCCAAGGCUAAAUACUCCUGACUGACCGAUAGUGAACCAGUACCGUGAGGGAAAGGCGAAAAGAACCCCGGCGAGGGGAGUGAAAAAGAACCUGAAACCGUGUACGUACAAGCAGUGGGAGCCUCUUUAUGGGGUGACUGCGUACCUUUUGUAUAAUGGGUCAGCGACUUAUAUUCUGUAGCAAGGUUAACCGUAUAGGGGAGCCGAAGGGAAACCGAGUCUUAACUGGGCGUUAAGUUGCAGGGUAUAGACCCGAAACCCGGUGAUCUAGCCAUGGGCAGGUUGAAGGUUGGGUAACACUAACUGGAGGACCGAACCGACUAAUGUUGAAAAAUUAGCGGAUGACCUGUGGCUGGGGGUGAAAGGCCAAUCAAACCGGGAGAUAGCUGGUUCUCCCCGAAAGCUAUUUAGGUAGCGCCUCGUGAACUCAUCUUCGGGGGUAGAGCACUGUUUCGGCUAGGGGGCCAUCCCGGCUUACCAACCCGAUGCAAACUACGAAUACCGAAGAAUGUUAUCACGGGAGACACACGGCGGGUGCUAACGUCCGUCGUGAAGAGGGAAACAACCCAGACCGCCAGCUAAGGUCCCAAAGUCAUGGUUAAGUGGGAAACGAUGUGGGAAGGCACAGACAGCCAGGAUGUUGGCUUAGAAGCAGCCAUCAUUUAAAGAAAGCGUAAUAGCUCACUGGUCGAGUCGGCCUGCGCGGAAGAUGUAACGGGGCUAAACCAUGCACCGAAGCUGCGGCAGCGACGCUUAUGCGUUGUUGGGUAGGGGAGCGUUCUGUAAGCCGUUGAAGGUGUGCUGUGAGGCAUGCUGGAGGUAUCAGAAGUGCGAAUGCUGACAUAAGUAACGAUAAAGCGGGUGAAAAGCCCGCUCGCCGGAAGACCAAGGGUUCCUGUCCAACGUUAAUCGGGGCAGGGUGAGUCGACCCCUAAGGCGAGGCCGAAAGGCGUAGUCGAUGGGAAACAGGUUAAUAUUCCUGUACUUGGUGUUACUGCGAAGGGGGGACGGAGAAGGCUAUGUCAGCCGGGCGACGGUUGUCCCGGUUUAAGCAUGUAGGCGGAGGUUCCAGGUAAAUCCGGUACCUUAUUAACGCUGAGGUGUGAUGACGAGGCACUACGGUGCUGAAGUGAUAAAUGCCCUGCUUCCAGGAAAAGCCUCUAAGCAUCAGGUAACACGAAAUCGUACCCCAAACCGACACAGGUGGUCAGGUAGAGAAUACCAAGGCGCUUGAGAGAACUCGGGUGAAGGAACUAGGCAAAAUGGUGCCGUAACUUCGGGAGAAGGCACGCUGAUGUGUAGGUGAAGUCCCUGCGGAUGGAGCUGAAAUCAGUCGAAGAUACCAGCUGGCUGCAACUGUUUAUUAAAAACACAGCACUGUGCAAACACGAAAGUGGACGUAUACGGUGUGACGCCUGCCCGGUGCCGGAAGGUUAAUUGAUGGGGUUAGCGGCAACGCGAAGCUCUUGAUCGAAGCCCCGGUAAACGGCGGCCGUAACUAUAACGGUCCUAAGGUAGCGAAAUUCCUUGUCGGGUAAGUUCCGACCUGCACGAAUGGCGUAAUGAUGGCCAGGCUGUCUCCACCCGAGACUCAGUGAAAUUGAACUCGCUGUGAAGAUGCAGUGUACCCGCGGCAAGACGGAAAGACCCCGUGAACCUUUACUAUAGCUUGACACUGAACACUGGUCCUUGAUGUGUAGGAUAGGUGGGAGGCUUUGAAGCGUGGACGCCAGUCUGCGUGGAGCCAACCUUGAAAUACCACCCUUUAAUGGCUGGUGUUCUAACGUAGACCCGUAAUCCGGGUUGCGGACAGUGUCUGGUGGGUAGUUUGACUGGGGCGGUCUCCUCCCAAAGAGUAACGGAGGAGCACGAAGGUUGGCUAAUCCUGGUCGGACAUCAGGAGGUUAGUGCAAUGGCAUAAGCCAGCUUGACUGCGAGCGUGACGGCGCGAGCAGGUGCGAAAGCAGGUCAUAGUGAUCCGGUGGUUCUGAAUGGAAGGGCCAUCGCUCAACGGAUAAAAGGUACUCCGGGGAUAACAGGCUGAUACCGCCCAAGAGUUCAUAUCGACGGCGGUGUUUGGCACCUCGAUGUCGGCUCAUCACAUCCUGGGGCUGAAGUAGGUCCCAAGGGUAUGGCUGUUCGCCAUUUAAAGUGGUACGCGAGCUGGGUUUAGAACGUCGUGAGACAGUUCGGUCCCUAUCUGCCGUGGGCGCUGGAGAAUUGAGGGGGGCUGCUCCUAGUACGAGAGGACCGGAGUGGACGCAUCACUGGUGUUCGGGUUGUCAUGCCAAUGGCACUGCCCGGUAGCUAAAUGCGGAAGAGAUAAGUGCUGAAAGCAUCUAAGCACGAAACUUGCCCCGAGAUGAGUUCU
rnacentral:rRNA from 1 species